rnacentral:rRNA from 1 species
GCGGACAGAUGGGAGCUUGCUCCCUGAUGUUAGCGGCGGACGGGUGAGUAACACGUGGGUAACCUGCCUGUAAGACUGGGAUAACUCCGGGAAACCGGGGCUAAUACCGGAUGCUUGUUUGAACCGCAUGGUUCAAACAUAAAAGGUGGCUUCGGCUACCACUUACAGAUGGACCCGCGGCGCAUUAGCUAGUUGGUGAGGUAAUGGCUCACCAAGGCAACGAUGCGUAGCCGACCUGAGAGGGUGAUCGGCCACACUGGGACUGAGACACGGCCCAGACUCCUACGGGAGGCAGCAGUAGGGAAUCUUCCGCAAUGGACGAAAGUCUGACGGAGCAACGCCGCGUGAGUGAUGAAGGUUUUCGGAUCGUAAAGCUCUAUUGUUAGGGAAGAACAAGUACCGUUCGAAUAGGGCGGUACCUUGACGGUACCUAACCAGAAAGCCACGGCUAACUACGUGCCAGCAGCCGCGGUAAUACGUAGGUGGCAAGCGUUGUCCGGAAUUAUUGGGCGUAAAGGGCUCGCAGGCGGUUUCUUAAGUCUGAUGUGAAAGCCCCCGGCUCAACCGGGGAGGGUCAUUGGAAACUGGGGAACUUGAGUGCAGAAGAGGAGAGUGGAAUUCCACGUGUAACGGUGAAAUGCGUAGAGAUGUGGAGGAACACCAGUGGCGAAGGCGACUCUCUGGUCUGUAACUGACGCUGAGGAGCGAAAGCGUGGGGAGCGAACAGGAUU